rnacentral:rRNA from 1 species
GGGACGAAAAAGGGGCAUUCUUGCUCAACUGACGGUACCAGAUGAAUAAGUACCGGCUAACUCCGUGCCAGCAGCCGCGGUAAUACGGAGGGUGCAAGCGUUAUCCGGAUUCACUGGGUUUAAAGGGUGCAUAGGCGGAUAUGUAAGUCCGUGGUGAAAUCUCUGGGCUUAACCCGGAAACUGCCAUGGAUACUAUGUGUCUUGAAUGUUGUUGAGGUGAGCGGAAUAUGUCAUGUAGCGGUGAAAUGCUUAGAUAUGACAUAGAACACCAAUUGCGAAGGCAGCUCACUAAGCAAAUAUUGACGCUGAGGCACGAAAGCGUGGGGAUCAAACAGGAUUAGAUACCCUGGUAGUCCACGCCCUAAACGAUGAUUACUCGACAUACGUGAUACACAAUGUGUGUCUGAGCGAAAGCAUUAAGUAAUCCACCUGGGAAGUACGACCGCAAGGUUG